rnacentral:rRNA from 1 species
CAGCAGCCGCGGGAAUACGAAGGGUGCAAGCGUUACUCGGAAUUACUGGGCGUAAAGCGUGCGUAGGUGGUUGUUUAAGUCUGCUGUGAAAGCCCUGGGCUCAACCUGGGAAUUGCAGUGGAUACUGGGCGACUAGAGUAAGGUAGAGGAUAGUGGAAUUUCCGGUGUAGCAGUGAAAUGCGUAGAGAUCGGAAGGAACAUCUGUGGCGAAGGCGACUAUCUGGGCCAUUACUGACACUGAGGCACGAAAGCGUGGGGAGCAAACAGGAUUAGAUACCCGUGUAGUCCCUGUCUCUUAUAC